rnacentral:rRNA from 1 species
AUUGAACGCUGGCGGCAUGCCUUACACAUGCAAGUCGAACGGCAGCACGGGAGCUUGCUCCUGGUGGCGAGUGGCGAACGGGUGAGUAAUAUAUCGCAACGUACCCUAGAGUGGGGGAUAACGCAGCGAAAGUUGCGCUAAUACCGCAUACGAUCUACGGAUGAAAGUGGGGGAUCGCAAGACCUCAUGCUCAUGGAGCG